GCGAAAGGUGCUUGCACCUUUCAAGUGAGUGGCGAACGGGUGAGUAACACGUGGACAACCUGCCUCAAGGCUGGGGAUAACAUUUGGAAACAGAUGCUAAUACCGAAUAAAACUCAGUGUCGCAUGACACAAAGUUAAAAGGCGCUUUGGCGUCACCUAGAGARGGAUCCGCGGUGCAUUAGUUAGUUGGUGGGGUAAAGGCCUACCAAGACAAUGAUGCAUAGCCGAGUUGAGAGACUGAUCGGCCACAUUGGGACUGAGACACGGCCCAAACUCCUACGGGAGGCUGCAGUAGGGAAUCUUCCACAAUGGGCGAAAGCCUGAUGGAGCAACGCCGCGUGUGUGAUGAAGGCUUUCGGGUCGUAAAGCACUGUUGUAUGGGAAGAACAGCUAGAAUAGGGAAUGAUUUUAGUUUGACGGUACCAUACCAGAAAGGGACGGCUAAAUACGUGCCAGCAGCCGCGGUAAUACGUAUGUCCCGAGCGUUAUCCGGAUUUAUUGGGCGUAAAGCGAGCGCAGACGGUUAAUUAAGUCUGAUGUGAAAGCCCGGAGCUCAACUCCGGAAUGGCAUUGGAAACUGGUUAACUUGAGUGCAGUAGAGGUAAGUGGAACUCCAUGUGUAGCGGUGGAAUGCGUAGAUAUAUGGAAGAACACCAGUGGCGAAGGCGGCUUACUGGACUGUAACUGACGUUGAGGCUCGAAAGUGUGGGUAGCAAACAGGAUUAGAUACCCUGGUAGUCCACACCGUAAACGAUGAACACUAGGUGUU
rnacentral:rRNA from 1 species